GAUGAACGCUGGCGGCGUGCCUAAUACAUGCAAGUCGGGCGAACAGACGAGGAGCUUGCUCCUCUGACGUUAGCGGCGGACGGGUGAGUAACACGUGGAUAACCUACCUAUAAGACUGGGAUAACUUCGGGAAACCGGAGCUAAUACCGGAUAAUAUAUUGAACCGCAUGGUUCAAUAGUGAAAGACGGUUUUGCUGUCACUUAUAGAUUGAUCCGCGCCGCAUUAGCUAGUUGGUAAGGUAACGGCUUACCAAGGCGACGAUGCGUAGCCGACCUGAGAGGGUGAUCGGCCACACGGGAACUGAGACACGGUCCAGACUCCUACGGGAGGCAGCAGUAGGGAACCUUCCGCAAUGGGCGAAAGCCUGACGGAGCAAAGCCGCGUGAGUGAUGAAGGUCUUCGGAUCGUAAAACUCUGUUAUUAGGGAAGAACAAAUGUGUAAGUAACUAUGCACGUCUUGACGGUACCUAAUCAGAAAGCCACGGCUAACUACGUG
rnacentral:rRNA from 1 species